CCGAACCACCUCCGGGUGGGGAGGAGUGGCGAACGGGUGAGUAACACGUGGGCAAUCUGCCCUGCACUCUGGGAUAACUCCGGGAAACCGGAGCUAAUACCGGAUACGACUCUCCAGGGCAUCCUGGGGGGUGGAAAGCUCCGGCGGUGCAGGAUGAGCCCGCGGCCUAUCAGCUGGUUGGUGGGGUGACGGCCCACCAAGGCGACGACGGGUAGCCGGCCUGAGAGGGCGACCGGCCACACUGGGACUGAGACACGGCCCAGACUCCUACGGGAGGCAGCAGUGGGGAAUAUUGCACAAUGGGCGCAAGCCUGAUGCAGCGACGCCGCGUGAGGGAUGACGGCCUUCGGGUUGUAAACCUCUUUCAGCAGGGAAGAAGCGCAAGUGACGGUACCUGCAGAAGAAGCACCGGCUAACUACGUGCCAGCAGCCGCGGUAAUACGUAAGGUGCGAGCGUUGUCCGGAAUUAUUGGGCGUAAAGAGCUCGUAGCGGCCUGUCGCGUCGGAUGUGAAAGCCCGGGGCUUAACCCCGGGUCUGCAUUCGAUACGGGCAGGCUAGAGUUCGGUAGGGGAGAUCGGAAUUCCUGGUGUAGCGGUGAAAUGCGCAGAUAUCAGGAGGAACACCGGUGGCGAAGGCGGAUCUCUGGGCCGAUC
rnacentral:rRNA from 1 species